UUGAUUACGUCCCUGCCCUUUGUACACACCGCCCGUCGCUGCCCGGGACUGAGCCAUUUCGAGAAACUUGGGGACCGCUGAUUUGCAGUCUUUCGGGCCUGCUUAUUGGUGGGAACCAAUUUAAUCGCAGUGGCUUGAACCGGGCAAAAGUCGUAACAAGGUAGCUGUAGGUGAACCUGCUGCUGGAUCAUUACAUUCGUACCAAAAUGUAUGGUCAAACUUGUUUUUUGUUAUGGAGCACUCCUCAUCAGAUGUGUGCGAUGAGUUUUGUGUGAGUGCGAGUUGUAUGUGCACAGUUGUGUGCCGGCACAUACGGCGACUUUCCGCUUAACCGCACAAGUGAGCUGUGUGGUUCCAUCGGUGUUUUGAUGGCUUUUGCGAUGGAGCGGUCAAGAAAACGGCUUCUGCUGGUGUCUAUGUGUUGCUGAGCAGUCGUCUUCGUCCGUGGCUGUGAUGAGGCAAUGCGGUAGGGCCUGUAUACGGUGUGUGUAUGCAUGGCUUAAGACUUGAUGAGCCCAUUUUUGUGUGUGGGACGCCAGCACCCCAUUUUUUCAAAUAUUUUUUUAUGACAAGUGAAAAAUUCUAGUCUUAUCGGUGGAUCACUCGGCUCGUGGGUCGAUGAAGAACGCAGCUAACUGCGAUAAAUAGUGUGAACUGCAGAAACCUUGAACACAAAAGCUUCGAAUGCACAUUGCACCAUGGGAGUCUUAUCCCUUGGUACGCCUGGUUCAGGGUCGUAAACCCUAAAACGCAUAUAAAUGCGUAUAAAACAGAGAUAGCUUCACUAAUUGCCUGUGAAGUGUUGCUAUAAUUCAUGUAAAGUUGCACACUAUUGGUGUGAUGCGGGGUAGAGCACUCGACUUAGUAAUUGGGAUUACUAAAUUAUAGUCGUAGUGUUCAUCGGGGCAGACACCUCUCGAAUCGCAUCUGGCCAAACCAUGUGUGGGUGUUCGUGUGUAACUUUGAGUGUUUGUGUGUUUUUUUUCACUCACUACAUUGAAUUUUCGACCUGAACUCAGACGUGAAUACCCGCUGAACUUAAGCAUAUCAGUAAGCGGAGGAAAAGAAACUAACAAGGAUUCCCUUAGUAACGGCGAGUGAAA
rnacentral:rRNA from 1 species